GGAGCGCGCUCUGAGAAUAAAUUCUGUUACCUAUUAUUUAAAAAGACUGGUCUCCUUCUAUUUUAUGCAAACAAGAAUCUUACAAAUUCUCAUAAAAUAGAUUAAGGGUAUUCAAUUAAUGAAAGCACAUUGGCAUAAUUAAAUUAUAUUAACACCUUGUGACCAAGGACUGCCGGGGGUUCAAAGGGGGAACCUGGAGAGCCCAGUCCCAAAGGAAGCCAAGUACAAAACAACACGUGUGUUUAGUCCUUUUGCUUUUUAGAUGUGUUCAUGACUUAUAUUUUAAGAAACAGCAGUUAAUGGUGUUUUCAUUUUUCAUCGUCACCCUCCCAUUCUCUUUCUCUGGGGUGAGAGGGGGAAUAACGGUGUGCCUGAGACCCCUGGGACAAGCGGUGAAACUGGGCUCAGAGGCAGCAAAGGAGAGGUCUACAGGCUGCUCGUUAUGGCGCACACCUGUUACCAUCGUUACGCGCACCUGCA